GAUGAACGCUGGCGGCGUGCCUAAUACAUGCAAGUCGAGCGAACAGACGAGGAGCUUGCUCCUCUGACGUUAGCGGCGGACGGGUGAGUAACACGUGGAUAACCUACCUAUAAGUCUGGGAUAACUUCGGGAAACCGGAGCUAAUACCGGAUAAUAUAUUGAACCGCAUGGUUCAAUAGUUAAAGACGGUUUUGCUGUCACUUAUAGAUGGAUCCGCGCCGCAUUAGCUAGUUGGUAAGGUAACGGCUUACCAAGGCAACGAUGCGUAGCCGACCUGAGAGGGGGAUCGGCAACACUGGAACUGAGACACGGUCCAGACUACUACGGGAGGAAGCAGUAGGGAAUCUUCCGCAAUGGGCGAAAGCCUGACGGAGCAACGCCGCGUGAGUGAUGAAGGUCUUCGGAUCGUAAAACUCUGUUAUUAGGGAAGAACAAAUGUGUAAGUAACUAUGCACGUCUUGACGGUACCUAAUCAGAAAGCCACGGCUAACUACGUG
rnacentral:rRNA from 1 species